GAUGAACGCUGGCGGCGUGCCUAAUACAUGCAAGUCGAGCGAACGGACGAGAAGCUUGCUUUUCUGAUGUUAGCGGCGGACGGGUGAGUAACACGUGGAUAACCUACCUAUAAGACUGGGAUAAUUUCGGGAAACCGGAGCUAAUACCGGAUAAUAUUUUGAACCGCAUGGUUCAAAAGUAAAAGACGGUCUUGCUGUCACUUAUAGAUGGAUCCGCGCUGCAUUAGCUAGUUGGUAAGGAAACGGCUUACCAAGGCAACGAUGCAUAGCCGACCUGAGAGGGUGAUCGGCCACACUGGAACUGAGACACGGUCCAGACUCCUACGGGAGGCAGCAGUAGGGAAUCUUCCGCGAUGGGCGAAAGCCUGACGGAGCAACGCCGCGUGAGUGAUGAAGGUCUUCGGAUCGUAAAACUCUGUUAUUAGGGAAGAACAUAUGUGUAAGUAACUGUGCACAUCUUGACGGUACCUAAUCAGAAAGCCACGGCUAACUACGUG
rnacentral:rRNA from 1 species